GUGAGUUGCUUUAACAGCCGCAGUACCUUGACUGUGCAAAGGUAGCAUAAUCAGUUGGCUUUUAAUUGGAGUCUAGAAUGAACGAAAGAAUGGAGGACGUCUGUCUUAUGUGGAUUAUUAAAAGUUACCUGGGAAGUGCAAAUGCUUCCAGGGAUUAAUUAGACGAGAAGACCCUAGAAAUUUAUAUAUUUAUUUUGUUGGGGCGACAAGGUAACAUUGAAACUUACCUUAUUAUAUUUGGAAUUUGUAAAUAGAAUAAAGAAAUUACUCUAGGGAUAACAGCAUAAUUUUGGAAAAGAUUGUGACCUCGAUGUUGGACUAGGGACGGUAAUAGCUUAGAAA
rnacentral:rRNA from 1 species